rnacentral:lncRNA from 1 species
UGCAUCCGGGGCUUGCCUUGGUUGCAGGGCAGAGAGGGACCCUCGGAGACUUCCCAAGUCUCGGAUCCGACUUCCUCGAACGGAGCACCGACCUCGGGGUUCGGUUCAACGGGCGCUCCUUCGGUCACGGACACUGUACGCAAAAAUGAUGAAUGCUCAUGAUAUGCGUAUGACAAAUAUGCAAGAAGGACCAAAUCAAGUACAAUUUGCCUUCUUAAUGCAAUACAGAAUAAUCAGUAAAUAAAGUUGUUUAACAUCUUAAUGCUUUUACCCAAGAGGUUGCAUCUGCAAAAUAAAAUCUCUUUUAACCCAUAAUUAACCUGAAUUAACUAAUUAUUAAUCCUAUUUACUUUAAUUAAUUCUUAAUUAACUAUUAAUGACAGUAAUUAAGCAUUAAGGCUAAACAAUAAUUAAAUGCCAAAGGUCAUUAGGGUUAAUGACCUCAGGUCAUCACACAAUCCCCAAAAUCACUCAACCCUAAUGAUGAGGAUUUAACUAAUUAUUAUUUAAUUAUUUUGGAAUUAUUACUUAGGUACUAAAUAAGGGUUUAUUAAUAUUUUAUUCAAACAUUAUCCAAAUGCCACCAAAUUUUGGGUGGAGCCAGGGAAUAAUAUUCAGAGGCUCUCCACAAUUUUUGGUGAUUUUUGGACACCUUAAUAAAUUACUAAAAUUCAUAGAAGUUUUAUUUGCUAAUUAAAAGGGCCAAUUUUUAUAUCCUUGCAAACUAUUAGAAAGCAGAAUCUAGUAUUUUUCUUGGAUCCUACAUAUUUCAGAGAGUUUAUACAAAAAUUCUCAUUAUUUUUGGAUCAUCACACAAUUUAUUACACAAAUUCAAAUAUAAAACAAAAACUGCAUAAAAGAAAAAAAAGAAAAGACACUGCAGCGGGUGGCCGGAUUUCGGCCCGCAGGCCGGCCCGCUUCGGCUCGGCCCGCGCGGACGCUGCGCACGCCGCCUUCUCUCCGCGCGGUCGCUGACAAGCGGGGCCUGCUCGUCAGGCCCCUCCCCCCUUCCAGCGAGACGCUGACAGGACGGCCCCGCCUGUCAGCUGCGUCUCCUACGCGUACGGCGGCGCUGCCGCAGCUCCGGCAGCCGCUAGCGAGGUCCUUGGCCCCCGCGUGCGCGCGCACCAGCUCCGCCUCACCUCCGCGGACCCCUCUCUACCACGUACUCGCGCUCUACUGCCUUCUUCCUAUCGCAACCGCGUCACCGGCGGACGGCUGCCAUGGCCGACUAUCGGCCGGCCACCAGGACCCGGUAGAGUGCAAGCCGACGGCCUAGGGAGCUCCCACAGGGGUUGGGGAGGAUGGUGCUCACGCUGCAAGUCUCGGGGAAGCAGCUGAAGCCGCUGGCGACAGAAGCAGUGUCGUCGGGCGGGAGCUCUGGCUCCGGCCAGCUUGUUCCGGUGAUCACAUUCAAGGAGAGGGAGCAAGAGCAUGAGCAACCGGGGCACGGAGGGAACACGAAACAGUUGCCAGAGGGGUGUGAUACUCACUGGAACACCGUGGCCACGGUAAGAACUCCGCGGCGGCGGUCUCGGCCGGAGUUGGAGAAGAGGAAGGAGCUCUGGCGUUUGAGGGGGUUAGAGAGGAAAUUUGGGGGUGCACUGGAUUCGCAAGAAAGUGACGAAGACACUGGGUUGCUCAAUUUGGCUCGGGAAGGAGUGGUUGUGGUGAAUUUGGGAGAGAAAGGCUCGUCGGGUUCUUGGGCUCCGGACGGAGGAAAUGCACGGCGUCGUCCACGCUGCGCUCAAGUGGAGGGGAAAGCAAGCCCGAGGCAUCCACGUCGCCUGGCGACCCUGGCAGCAAGCAGCUGCGUGCACGCACGCAUGCGCGCGGCGCUGCUCGCGCGGCGGCUGCGCUGGACAGGGAGCCGGUGAUCCAUAUCGGAUCAUUGUAGCAGACCCUUAUCCCUCCUUUUUGACUUUUGUAAAAUUUACUCAAAAUUUGAACUGAACACAAGAUCUCACCAAAACAAAAGUUGUACAAAAUUUUGUAAGUUACAAUUCCUCUUUUGGUGGCCAGAGCUGAUUCCAAGUGGAAAGUAGCCAAUUUGGCCAAACAGUUUUGAAAUUGAACUUAAUUCAAAGAAAUUCAAAUUUUUGAAUUGGGGGCAAAACAGGAUUUCCAAAAUUACUUUUGAUUUUGCAUAACAACUUGAAAAACUCCCAACAUGAAAGUUGCUCAACUUUUUGUGCUCUACAACUUUCAUGUUGACCACUUUUCAAAAUUCCAAAUGGAUUUUGAAUUGGGGGUUUAAGUUGGAAAAGGGGACACUUUUCUGGAAAUCUGUAUUUUCAAAAUUACUUUGAAUUCUAUAUUGAAACUUCAAAAACUCAAAACACCAAAGUUGUACAUCUUGACAAGAUCUACAACUUUGCUUUUGAACUCAACCUCAAAUUUUGUUUGGUUUUUAAAUUGUGAAAAAGGGGGCAAAUCUAGGGUCCAGAAAUCAGGGUUUCCCCCCCUAGCUCUCGGAAAUCUUCCACCCUAGGGUUUUAGCAACCACACAAGCAUCAACACACCACAUAAGCACACUCUACCUCCCUAAGCUCAAGCAAUCAAAGUAAACUUGUUUUAAGUUGAUGCAUACUAAUGUGCUUAACAAAUAUGCUUUGCAAUGCUCAUGAUGACAUGAUCCGUUUUUAGUAACCGUAACAUCGGGGAUGUUACAGCCCUUCCCCCUUAAAGAAAUCUCGUCCCCGAGAUUUAAAACCUUAGGGUAAGUAAUGGAAAAGGAAAUUUGUCAAAACUCUUUCAUCUUCAACUUUCUCAUAAAGCAAGAGGUUGAAAAAAACACUCCAUUACAAACGUGUAUGUACAUUAAGUACAUGGCUUUGGCGACUCUUUUCCUUCACUAGAGUACACUCUCUAGUCAUCAUAUAUUGUCCUGAAGAGAAGCAUGGAAUUCAGGGAAAUUCUCUAGCAAGAAAUCUUCAGAUUCCCAGGUGGCUUCUUCUUCAGAGUGCUGGCUCCAUUGUACCUUGUACCAUUUGGUGGUUGUUCUUCGAGUAACUCUAUCUUUCUGAUCCAGUACUCGGAUAGGAUACUCCGAAUAAGUUAGAUCUGGUUCAAGUUCUACAUCUUCAAUAUCUUGAACUCGGUCUGGUACUCGAAGACACUUUUUCAGUUGAGACACAUGGAACACAUUAUGUACCCCGGAUAAUCGUUCGGGCAGUUUAAGGCGGUAAGCGACCUGUCCACAUCGGUCAAUGAUUGGAAAUGGACCAAUGUAACGAGGCGCUAACUUGCCUUUAACACCAAAACGAUUUACUCCUUUCAUUGGGGAUACUUUCAAAUACACAUGAUCACCUUUGGCGAACUUUAAUGGUCGACGUCUUUUAUCAGCGUAACUUUUCUGUCGGGACUGAGCAACUUUCAAGUUAUUUUGGAUUUGUUUCACUUUGUUCUCAGUCUCUUUCACUAAGUCAACUCCGAAGAACCAUCUUUCUCCAGGUUCCGACCAGUGUAACGGAGUUCGACAUCGGCGACCAUACAGUGCCUCAAAGGGAGCCAUUUUGAUACUCUCUUGAUAGCUAUUAUUGUAGGAAAAUUCUGCUAGAGGCAAGCAGUCAUCCCACUUAUCUGGAAAAUUCAGGGCACAAGAUCUUAAUAGAUCUUCUAGGGUUUGAUUCACCCUUUCAGUUUGCCCACCAGUUUGAGGGUGGUAGGCUAUGCUGUAUAAAAGUUUAGUGCCCAGGGACUCAUGUAAACAUUUCCAGAAUUGGGAGACAAAUUGUGUGCCUCUAUCUGACACUAUUGUCUUUGGCACCCCAUGCAGACUUAGGAUACGGUCGAAAUAAAUCUUAGCAUAGGUGGAGGCAGGAUACAAUAGCUUUACAGGCAGAAAAUGUGCUGUUUUGGUGAGACGAUCUACUAUGACCCAAAUUGAAUCAAAGCCCUUGGCCGUCUUGGGCAAUCCUACUAUGAAAUCCAUACUUAUGUCAUCCCAUUUCCAUGCGGGGAUAGGCAAAGGUUGCAACUCCCCAGCGGACUUGAGAUGAAUAGCUUUGACUUUUCGGCAGGUGUCACAUUGGGCCACAUAGCGAGCUAUCUCUAUCUUCAUUUUUGUCCACCAAAACCUUUGCUUUAGGUCCUGAUACAUCUUGUUGCUUCCCGGAUGAAUAGAAUACCUCGUGGUAUGAGCUUCAUCCAGGAUUUGUUGACGUAGCUCAGGUACCUUUGGAACCACUAACCGGUUCUUGAACUAGAUUACUCCCGCAUCAUCCACCUUAAAGUCUGUGGGUGCUCUAUUAGAAAUCUUCUCUUUAAGAUGUUUCAUGCCUUUGUCUACUUUUUGUGCCCCUAUGAUUUGAGCUUCGAGAUUGAAGUCAAUCUUUAGAUUGGAAAGGCUUCCUUGGGAAAUCAUUUCUAUCUCCAAGUUCUCUAGCUCUUGGCACAAAGUUAUGUCUCUAGGCAUCACUGUUACGCAAUUGUAGUGAGCCUUACGACUGAGGGCAUCCGCUACUACAUUUGCCUUUCCCGGGUGAUAAUGCACCUCAAGGUCGUAAUCUUUAAUUAACUCUAGCCACCUUCGCUGGCGCAUAUUAAGCUCAGCUUGAGUAAAGAUAUACUUCAAACUCUUGUGAUCGGUGUAUAGAUGACAUGUGUUCCCCAACAGAUAAUGAUGCCAGAUCUUUAAUGCAUGUACCACGGCGGCUAGUUCAAGAUCAUGGGUCGGGUAAUUCUCUUCAUGUGGUUUGAGUUGUCUGGAAGCAUAUGCAAUUACGCGACCCUCCUGCAUUAGCACACAGCCUAUCCCGAUCCCUGAUGCAUCACAAUAUACAUCAAAGGGUUUUUCAAUAUCUGGCUGGGCUAAGACAGGUGCAGUUGUCAACAACCUUUUCAGAGUCUGAAAGGCUUGCUCACAUUGGGGUGACCAAACAAACUUGGUUUGAUUUUUGAGCAAGGUUGUGAUUGGUUUGGCGACUCUGGAAAAGUCCGGGAUAAAACGACGGUAAUAUCCCGCCAUACCCAGAAAACUACGGACCUCAUGUACCGUAGUUGGGGGUUUCCAAUUCAACACGUCUUCUACCUUGCCUGGGUCUACAGCGACUCCUUCUGCUGAUAAUACAUGACCCAGGAAAUGGACUUUGUCCAGCCAGAACUCACAUUUGCUGAACUUGGCGUAUAGCUGAUGUUCCCUGAGACGAGUCAGCACGACCCUCAAAUGUUCAGCAUGUUCUUUCUUAGUUUUGGAGUAAAUCAAAAUGUCGUCAAUAAAGACUACAACAAAUUUAUCUAGUUCUGGCAUGAAGACAGAGUUCAUCAGGUACAUGAAAUGGGCCGGUGCAUUGGUCAACCCAAAGGACAUCACCAAGUAUUCAUAUAUCCCGUAACGGGUUGUAAAAGCUGUCUUGGGCACAUCUUCCGGCCUAAUUUUAAUUUGGUGGUACCCUGAUCUCAAGUCAAUUUUUGAGAAUACUUUGGCCCCAGCUAGCUGGUCAAACAAUAAGUCAAUGCGGGGCAGUGGGUACUUAUUCUUAAUCGUCACCUCAUUUAGGGGACGAUAGUCGACACACAGCCUUAAUGUUUGAUCUUUCUUUUUCACAAACAAGGCUGGGCAACCCCAUGGAGAAGAACUGGGCUGAAUAAAACCUUUGUGCAACAACUCUUGUAAUUGGGUUUUUAAUUCGGCCAGCUCUUUCGGUGCCAUUCUGUAGGCCCUUCGAGAUAUUGGGGCCGUCCCUGGCUUCAGUUCUAUACUGAAUUGUACAUCCCGGUCCGGAGGCAAACCUGGUAAGUCUUCAGGAAAUACAUCCGGGAAAUCUCGAACUACCGGGAUAUCUUUAACUUCAGACUCAUUAGCGGCAUGAACUUGCCCAAUUGUCCGCUUGGGAGUAACUAAUUGAAUUAGCAAAUAAGAAUUCUCAUUGGGCAAUGGGAUUUUAAUGGUUCGAUGCAAAGUGUCCAGCACAACCCCUCGUUGUGCCAUCCAGUUCAUGCCUAAGAUGACAUCAAUUUCUUGGUCCUUAAGAACAAUCAUGCUAGUAGGAAAAUUAUGCCCACCAAAUUCGAUGGGUACUUGGUGAACCAUUUCUUUGGACAUCAGCCGUCCUCCUGGCGACUGUAUAUAAAAAUGAUCUUGUGUUUCCCCAAUGGGUAUGCCAUGCUUUAACACAAAGGUGCGAUUAAUGAAUGUAUGAGAUGCACCAGAAUCGAAGAGCAUUAAAGCAGGAUGUUUCGCAACAGGAAACGUACCCAUCAUCACUGGUUCACCCUCUGGAAUCGUCUCCACUUCAGUAUGGAAGACUUGCCCUGUCUUCUUUACCGGUCUACCUUUCUGUACUUGUUGCCCUUUCUCAGCCCCAGUCCUGAACUGACUCGACUGGGGUUGGCCCAUAGGUGGCCUUUGAAAGGUAGGGUUGGUUUGGCGGGGCACUCUUUAGAGAAAUGCCCAGGCUUACCACAAUUGAAGCAAGGGUAAUUGUGGCUGGGUGAAGCAGUGGGGCGAACACCCGGGGCGUUUGGCUGGCGUGGUGCAAAAGCGAUGGCAGUAGGUCGAGAGUAUACCUGCUGCCCGGGUCUGUACUGUGGAGGGGAGAAAGGACCACGAUAAGGUGACGGCGCUUGGAAAUGUCCGUGGCCCUGUGGAUGAUAAAUGAUUCUCUGGCGCUUUUGACCGCGACCAGAGAAAGAAUAGGAAGCAGCCUUCUUCUUGGCUUCCUUGUGUUUUCUAUUCUUUUCCUCUGAGGCGAUGGCAAUAUUUACCGCCUCAUAGAAGGUAGCAUUUUGGCAAGUGGUCAUCAUGGUCUGAAGUUUAGUAUUUAGACCACGCAUGAAACAGGCUUUCUUCUUUCUGUCAGUGUUCACAUGAUCCGUGGCAUAUUGAGAGAGAUGAUUAAACCUUGCCACGUACUCCAUAACACUUUUAUCGCCUUGCUGCAAGGCGAGAAACUCUUCGGCCUUCAUGGCCAUGAGCCCUUCGGGGAUGUAGUGGGCGCGGAACGUGUCCUUGAAUUCGGUCCAGGUGACUUGGUGUCCGGGAGCUUGGAUAGCUAAGAAGUUCUCCCACCAGGCACCUGCAGCUCCCCGAAGCUGCUGAGCUGCAAACAGGGGCUUCUGAGUUUCUGAACACUGAAUCAAACUGAACUUAUGCUCCAUAGUUCGGAGCCAGUCAUCCGCUUCUAAAGGCUCAUCGGCCUUAGUGAACACCGGGGGCCUGGUCUCGGUAAAGUCCACAUACCGAGUCUCUCCGUCCCCGUUGCGCGGUGCCCUGAAGUUUGGGGCGAGGUGUGGUUGACGCUGUGCUAGCUCGCGCAGCAAGCGAGCGUUGUCAGUUGUGGCACUUAGCAGAACAGCAAUGGUGUCAGCCAAAGAAGGUGGAGCAGGUGGAGGGUUGGGGAUAUCAUCCCCUCCCUGAGAUGUCCCAGCUCCCUCAGAUCCGCGAGUACGCAUCGGCAUCUGUUACAAGAGUCGUAGAUACCUGUUACCACGUGAAAUUCAUAACACAGAACAUAUCUUACAUUCUUCCAUUCACUUAUUAAACAUUAGUUCGACACACCAAGAGUAAAUAGGUACAACUUCUCAAACCGAACGAGAACUUAUAUUACAAACCCGAACCCCACUACGGCAAGCUAGGACCCCUACAACGACGUUGCCCUCGGUUUCACUGAACUAAUCGGUGUGGCCAGAGCUGUAGCCCGGGUCGUCAUUGCCAUCAUCCUGAUUACCCCCUGGGUUGUGGUCAUCGGGGUCGGACUCCUCUUCAUCACUGAGGCCUGGAUCGGGUUCCCCAUCGUCUGCCAACUCGCCAUCCGUAUCCAUUUCUCCUUCGCCUGGAGGUGGGUGGAGCUGAUGAUACAGAUCAAAUGCAAUAUCACGAUAUUGCAUUGCCAAGUCAUUAACGGUAUCUAAGUGAUGUGCCAGCUCCAAUUUCUCCAGCUGGAGCUGGUCCUCUCGUUGCCACGCGACAUCCCGCUGUGCGGUGACCGUGGCCGCCAUCUUCACGUACAAAUCCUUAAGAUACCUGGCCUUGCCCAACUUUGCGUUCAUCCUAGUCAACUCAUGCCUGUGUGUGCUCCUUGCUUCUUCCUCUCGGGUAAUGGCUGCAUUCCGCUCCUCCACCAUCCGGGACAACAUAGCCUCACAGUUCUCUGUAGCUUGUUUUUCUUUGGCCAGUUGAGCUUUAAGUUUGCCAAUCUCCAUAACAUUGUACAUUCUCUCUCUCAUCACCUCAGUCAACUCGGCGGACAACCUGUCCACCUCCUGCUGAGGCGGUGAACGGCUACUGCUGGCUUGAUCGCUGCGGGGAGCCAACUGAUGUCGGGGAACUCCUUUCGGACCUGUCCUCUUACGCGGGGUCUGCUUCUGACGAGCCAUCCUGUAGAGGGUAAGUUUAGAUUAGUAAGAGAGACCUUAAAGGUUAGCAAGAAUAGGAUUGAUUCUAUUCACCCAACCCAAACAAGGAGGAAGGAACUUAACCAGUUAAUACAUCACGAUGCAUGCACGAUCUUACGAUUCCUACUAACAAUUCGUAACAAUAUUACUUUAAAUUUUUAAAACAUAGGGCACUACUAUAUAUUGCUCCUCCAUACCACUUCAAAAAUUCUAAGAAAGCCUAUAGACAGGGGUAGGUUAGGACUAAGCACUUGGACUCAAAAUAGGCAGGUUCAUAGUAUUAGAUCCAAACGAAUUUUUGAAGUUUUUCAAUAGGUACUGCAGUCAUCUUAGCAACGAAUGCUCUGAUACCAGCUGUGGCAGAACCCCCUAAGUGUUUGGGCCCGCCGGCACCUGCCAUUGUCCUAAGGACCUCUGACGGUGAUGCCGGGAGUCCUCCCACUUUAGAAGUCCGAUGAGCAUCGCUGGACGCUCAUUCCACUGCUACCUGUGGCGUACCAAGCUGGCUCGUCCUGACCACUGGUAAUGGUCAAACAACGAGAACUGCUUCUUCUCGCCCUUACAGGAUAGCAAGUGGCCACCUUAACACCAGGAUCAUUCGUUGCGAAGAUAAAGCAGUAACUCAACGACACAAGACCAAAAUAAUAUUUCAGAGUGAAACAACGGAAGUAUUACAUAACUUAAUUUACAAAAGGAGUUCUUCCAAUUAGUAGAGUGUUAUUACAAGCCUGGUCCAGCGGAGCAACUGAAACUUUAGUACAGACAGUACAAAUUUACAGACCCUGCCCAUGGGUCACGCUCACUCUUCUUCGUCGUCAACCUCGACGACGGUCACACAACAGGGUCCGAAACAAGUCGGCUCCUGUGCUUCACCUGCAACAGGAGUAUUGAAACCCUGAGUACGGGAGUACUCAACAAGACUUACCCGAUGGGAAAAGAGGAGAACUUAGGGAUGCAGGCUUAGGGUAGACAAGGGGUGGCUGAGCAAGGAGCCAAAGUGUUUUGCUUAAAAAGCUUACUAGUAGUGCAUCCUUAUUUUCAAGUUUUACCCGCGAAUUCCUCCCUCGCAGAGGCUGAGGAGUUCGAGGACAGUCUAACUAGUUGUUCCCCACAGACGAAUCCGUGAGUUCCUAGUCCUAUCACAAAGUAUUAUUUAUCGAUGGCCAUAGCUUCAUGUCGCUAUGAGUCCGGGAAUUGGGAUCCGAACCUCAUGGGACAUUUUCCCUUUUCUCAUUUUAUCACUUAGUUGCAUAUUUAACUACGAUGAGGGUCGAAGGAAUUGAGUCUCCCAAUCGGGGAGCAACGACGAUUCGAAUCGCUUAGCAAUCCAGCUGGAGUUCCUAACCACCCGACAUAUGUAGAACCAAAUCUUGCAUAUAUCAACCCAAAUCAAGCUCUCCCCAAAUUUGACCAGGUUCACGGCACCCGAGAGCACAGUACCCCACCAUCCUACAGCCGAUCUAGAUGUUUUCCGGUCAUCUCAGAUCCGUAAGGUGGGCACACGUUACUCUCGCCAUCUUUCCACUCCCAGUGCGCGAGUAGCUGUUCACGUCGAGGGAUCACAAGACCGGGCUUACCGAGGGCAAGUGGCUAGUACUACAAAUUCUCAACCCAGCAGGCCAUCAACGGAACGGUCCUUAAUCAACACAGUCGGAGACACUACUUUAAGACUCCAUUCUUAGAGCAAGUCCACCGACCGGUCUCAAAUUGAAACAUCAUUGAUCAUAAGUGUAUCCCACAACAACCCUUCAAACUUUCUUGUUUGAAAACCUAUCUAGUAGCAGGGCUAAGCAUCGCUACGCAGUUUUAUAAUAAAACAGGUGUCAAGGACAGGAUAACAGAUAUCAAGUUAGUAAAUGCAGCAAGUAGGUUAACCCAAUUCUCAACUACCUAAUGCAGCAUUUUCAAUUCAUAAGUGAUAAAAGAUUUAAAACAUCCAAGGAGGGGUUAAUGCAUCCGGGGCUUGCCUUGGUUGCAGGGCAGAGAGGGACCCUCGGAGACUUCCCAAGUCUCGGAUCCGACUUCCUCGAACGGAGCACCGACCUCGGGGUUCGGUUCAACGGGCGCUCCUUCGGUCACGGACACUAUACGCAAAAAUGAUGAAUGCUCAUGAUAUGCGUAUGACAAAUAUGCAAGAAGGACCAAAUCAAGUACAAUUUGCCUUCUUAAUGCAAUAUAGAAUAAUCAGUAAAUAAAGUUGUUUAACAUCUUAAUGCUUUUACACAAGAGGUUGCAUCUGCAAAAUAAAAUCUCUUUUAACCCAUAAUUAACCUGAAUUAACUAAUUAUUAAUCCUAUUUACUUUAAUUAAUUCUUAAUUAACUAUUAAUGACAGUAAUUAAGCAUUAAGGCUAAACAAUAAUUAAAUGGCAAAGGUCAUUAGGGUUAAUGACCUCAGGUCAUCACACAAUCCCCAAAAUCACUCAACCCUAAUGAUGAGGAUUUAACUAAUUAUUAUUUAAUUAUUUUGGAAUUAUUACUUAGGUACUAAAUAAGGGUUUAUUAAUAUUUUAUUCAAACAUUAUCCAAAUGCCACCAAAUUUUGGGUGGAUCCAGGGAAUAAUAUUCAGAGGCUCUCCACAAUUUUUGGUGAUUUUUGGACACCCUAAUAAAUUACUAAAAUUCAUAGAAGUUUUAUUUGCUAAUUAAAAGGGCCAAUUUUUAUAUCCUUGCAAACUAUUAGAAAGCAGAAUCUAGUAUUUUUCUUGGAUCCUACAUAUUUCAGAGAGUUUAUACAAAAAUUCUCAUUAUUUUUGGAUCAUCACACAAUUUAUUACACAACUUUAAAUAUAAAACAAAAACUGCAUAAAAGAAAAAAAAAAGAAAAGACACUGCAGCGGGUGGCCGGAUUUCGGCCCGCAGGCCGGCCCGCUUCGGCUCGGCCCGCGCGGACGCUGCGCACGCCGCCUUCUCUCCACGCGGUCGCUGACAAGCGGGGCCUGCUCGUCAGGCCCCUCCCCCCUUCCAGCGAGACGCUG